AUUGAACGCUGGCGGCAUGCCUUACACAUGCAAGUCGAACGGCAGCACGGGAGCUUGCUCCUGGUGGCGAGUGGCGAACGGGUGAGUAAUGCAUCGGAACGUGCCCUGAAGUGGGGGAUAACGUAGCGAAAGUUACGCUAAUACCGCAUAUUCUGUGAGCAGGAAAGCAGGGGAUCUUCGGACCUUGCGCUUUUGGAGCGGCCGAUGUCGGAUUAGCUAGUUGGUGGGGUAAAGGCCCACCAAGGCGACGAUCCGUAGCGGGUCUGAGAAGAUGAUCCGCCACACUGGAACUGAGACACGGUCCAGACUCCUACGGGAGGCAGCAGUGGGGAAUUUUGGACAAUGGGCGCAAGCCUGAUCCAGCCAUGCCGCGUGAGUGAAGAA
rnacentral:rRNA from 1 species